AUGUAUUCAAACUCUCCUGUACGGGGAUGCCCCUCUCAGAGUCCCCUGAACGAGUGCCCCCAGCUUUCCGGCUCGCAGAAGCUGUGUGCUUGGACGGAACCCCGCGCGCAGCCUUGUCUGGCCUUGUCUUUCAGGAGCUGGCUGGCCCUCGCAGUCGCUGCGCUUCUGGGUCCGAAACCCUCGGCCUGCGGCCCUCCACCUGGUCCCCGGCCAAACAUCCUCCUUCUGAUGGCGGACGAUCUCGGCAUUGGAGACGUCGGUUGCUACGGCAACAGCACCCUCAGGACUCCAAACAUCGACCGCCUUGCGGCGGAUGGCGUGAGGCUCACCCAGCAUCUGGCCGCUGCCCCUGUGUGCACGCCAAGUAGAGCGGCGUUUUUAACGGGCAGAUACCCCCUCCGAUCAGGUAUGGUUUCCAGUCAAGGCCUCCGUGUUCUUCAGUGGACAGCGGUGUCUGGAGGACUUCCGCCCAGUGAAAUAACUUUUGCAAAAAUACUGAAAGCUAAAGGCUAUACCACCGGACUCGUAGGAAAAUGGCAUUUGGGUCUCAGCUGUGCGUCUCCCGACGAUCACUGCCACCAUCCGCUCAAUCACGGCUUCGACCAUUUCUACGGAAUGCCAUUCAGCAUGAUGGCGGACUGCGAGCGCUGGGGACUAUCCGAGAAGCGUGCGGUCCUGGAGCGUCGCCUCGACGUCUGCUCCCAGCUCGUGGCCCUGGCCACCCUCACACUCACAAUCGGGAAACUCACCCGCCUGAUACUGGCCGCCUCCUGGACGCUGGUCAUCUGGUCGACUGUCGUGUGCCUCCUGCUCUUCGCCACUUCCUGUUUGGUGGGCGCCCUGAUCGAGCACGCGGACUGCUUUCUGAUGCGGAAUCAUUCCAUCGCACAGCAGCCCAUGCGCUCUCAGAAGACGAUGCCGCUCAUACUCCGGGAGGUCUCAUCCUUCAUCAAAAGAAACAAGCAAGGGCCUUUCCUCCUCUUUGUGUCCUUCCUGCACGUCCACACCCCUCUUGUCACGACUGAGAACUUCCGUGGGAGGAGUGCCCACGGGCUUUACGGGGACAACACCGAAGAGAUGGACUGGAUGGUGGGCCAGAUCCUUGAGACUUUGGACACAGAAGGGUUGACCAACAGCACCCUGGUUUAUUUUACAUCGGAUCACGGCGGAUCCUUAGAGGCUCAGUUUGGAAACAACCAAUACGGUGGCUGGAAUGGGGUAUAUAAAGGCGGCAAAGGCAUGGCCGGCUGGGAAGGCGGGAUCCGGGUCCCAGGGAUAUUCCGGUGGCCUGGGGUCCUGCCGGCCGGCCGCGUGAUCCAUGAGCCCACCAGCCUGAUGGACGUCUUCCCCACUGUGGUCCAGCUGGCAGGCGGCCAGGUGCCCCAGGACAGGGUCAUUGACGGCCGGAGCCUGCUGCCCCUGCUGAGGGGAGAUGCUGAGCACUCGGCACACGAGUUCCUGUUUCAUUACUGCGGGCAGUAUCUCCACGCCGCCCGCUGGCACGACAAGGACAGCGGAAGGCUCUGGAAGGUCCAUUACACCACGCCCCGCUUCCACCCCGAGGGCGCAGGGGCCUGCCACAGCCGCAGCGUGUGCCCCUGCUCGGGAGCCGGCGUGACCCACCACGACCCUCCCCUGCUCUUCGACCUUUCCGAGGACCCGUCCGAGGCCCGGCCCCUGUCGCCCGACGCCGGGCCCCUGUACCACGAGGCGGUGGCCCGCGUGGGCCGGGCGGUCCGGGAGCACCGCCGGUCGCUGCGCCCGGCGCCUGAGCAGCUGUCCUUCUGGAACGUGGUCUGGAAGCCGUGGCUGCAGCCCUGCUGCGGGCCGUUCCCAUUCUGCGCAUGCUCCCGGGACGCGGACCCCAGGGAGACCUGACCUCGCCGCUCCCCAAGUUACAGCAAGGGGUGGGCGAGCAGGCAGGGAGAACGGGACCCUUGUGUGCUGUCGGGAAUGGAGAGCUGCAGCGGCCGCUGGGGGCAACGGGGUGGACGGUCCUCCAGCCACCAAAAAAUGGAACUACCCUAGGAUGCAGCUAGGCCAGCCCUGCGUGUGUGUCUGUCACUCAGCCAUGUCUGAAGGAGUGUUUCGGGCCUGGAAAAGAAAACAACAGUUUCAAAGGUCCUUGCUGAAUCAUCUAACUUCGGAGAAAACAGAACUUUAGGUCCCACCCUGAUGCUCCAGGCCGGUUGCAUCUAUCUGGGACUUAUCACCCCUGUCCAGAAAUCUUCCACCCCCUACACCUGCCCAGAAGACUUAUCACCUCCUGUCCGGAAACCUUGCACCCCCUACACCUGCCCAGAAGACUUAUCACCCCCUGCCCAACUACAAAUGCCAUCUCAACUAAAGAAUACCCAAAACAUCCCCCCUGAUUAACGUUUCCUUAUCGCUUCCAUAAACCUCCCUAUAAAUACGGAGCCUCCCUGAUCCCUCUCUGUGCUCAGCCUGAUCUUAAGGCCAACCGUCGCCCCUCCUUGCCUGAAUAAAGGUAACCUACUUCUAUUGAGAUCGUCUUUC
rnacentral:lncRNA from 1 species